AGAGUUUGAUCCUGGCUCAGGACGAACGCUGGCGGCGUGCCUAAUACAUGCAAGUCGAGCGAGCGUGCCUGGAUGAUUUUGGUGCUUGCACCAAAUGAAACCAGAUACAAGCGAGCGGCGGACGGGUGAGUAACACGUGGGUAACCUGCCCAAGAGACUGGGAUAACACCUGGAAACAGAUGCUAAUACCGGAUAACAACUUUAGACGCAUGUCUAGAGUUUGAAAGAUGGGUUUUCUAUCACUCUUGGAUGGACCUGCGGUGCAUUAGCUAGUUGGUAAGGUAACGGCUUACCAAGGCAAUGAUGCAUAGCCGAGUUGAGAGACUGAUCGGCCACAUUGGGACUGAGACACGGCCCAAACUCCUACGGGAGGCAGCAGUAGGGAAUCUUCCACAAUGGACGCAAGUCUGAUGGAGCAACGCCGCGUGAGUGAAGAAGGGUUUCGGCUCGUAAAGCUCUGUUGUUGGUGAAGAAUGAUAGAGGUAGUAACUGGCCUUUAUUUGACGGUAAUCAACCAGAAAGUCACGGCUAACUACGUGCCAGCAGCCGCGGUAAUACGUAGGUGGCAAGCGUUGUCCGGAUUUAUUGGGCGUAAAGCGAGCGCAGGCGGUUUAAUAAGUCUGAUGUGAAAGCCUUCGGCUCAACCGAAGAAUUGCAUCAGAAACUGUUAAACUUGAGUGCAGAAGAGGAGAGUGGAACUCCAUGUGUAGCGGUGGAAUGCGUAGAUAUAUGGAAGAACACCAGUGGCGAAGGCGGCUCUCUGGUCUGCAACUGACGCUGAGGCUCGAAAGCAUGGGUAGCGAACAGGAUUAGAUACCCUGGUAGUCCAUGCCGUAAACGAUGAGUGCUAAGUGU
rnacentral:rRNA from 1 species